rnacentral:rRNA from 1 species
AGGAUCAUUUGCACAUGUGUAGCCAACUGCAUGCUAAUGAUAUUGUGGGCAACUGUAAGCAUGUAUUGCAAUGGACUUGCACUUGCCCUGGGCAGCAUGAUUUGUUUUUCAAGCAUGUGUGCUGUAGUGUGUGAUGUGUUUUGUAAACUGUUUGCAUUUCUCUAGUUGCUGCAACAAUUAUGUUUUGCAAGGAAUGUCUUAGCUCAAUAAAUGAUGAAGAAUGCAGCAAAAUGCAAUAUGCAUUGCGAAUUGCAGAAUUCCGUGAGCUAACAGAUGUUUGAAUGUUACUUGUACCUUUGGGAUAUUCUUGAAGGUUUGCUUGGUUUAAUGCAAAGUAGCUUUCAUAUACAGUUAAUGCUGAUUAGCAUUGUUGUGAACAAUAAAGGUCAAUGUGUUGCAUUGAACCUGGAUGUCAUACAGUUGUUUACAACCUAAACAUGGUUUCGUGGGGCAGACCUGUUUCGUCAUUUGAUGGUUGAUAUUUGUAAAUGUGCACAACUGGGACAAGCUGAAGACUUGCAUAUGCUAAGCGUGAAGUGAAGCACAUAAACCUGCUGAAUUUAAGCAUAUAAGUAAGUGGUGGAAAUUAAACC